rnacentral:rRNA from 1 species
UACGUAGGUGACAAGCGUUGUCCGGAUUUACUGGGCGUAAAGAGCGCGCAGGCGGUCGAUCAAGUCGAGUGUGAAAGCCCCCGGCUCAACUGGGGAGGGUCAUUCGAUACUGAUCGACUCGAAGGCAGGAGAGGGUAGUGGAAUUCCCGGUGUAGUGGUGAAAUGCGCAGAUAUCAGGAAGAACACCUAUGGCGAAGGCAGCUCGCUGGGACGUUACUGACGCUGAGACGCGAAAGCGUGGGAAGCAAACAGG